UCUAUCUCGAGAUGUAGAGAGUCAACUGUAAAUUUUAUCAGUUAACUUUUUGUGUUCGUUGGUAUGCAUCAUUAGCCUCUUCAAUAAGCUCAGUUCCAAAACUAUGGCCCACAUAGACGAUGCGAUAACCAUAAGGGUAAUCAGCAAGAUUAUGCUGAGCAUAACACGCUCAAUUCGCGUUCGGGCCAGAAACUUUUCACAUGGAAAUUUCCAUGACUUCCUUGGGCAUUAAGUAUCUUCGUGCCUAUAAAUUGGAUUUAUCUCAAUUGGGGGUCACGCCAAGAGAAGGAAGAAUUGCUAUAACUUAUUUAUGCAUUCUCGUAUUUUCAGCCUUAUCAAUUUUCAGCCUUUUGUAAUUUCAGCCUUAUGUUACAGUUUCUCCAUUUCAGCCUUUCGUAUUCAGUCUUUGUGCAUUCAGCCUUUUGAGAUUAAGUUUUAUGUUACCAUCCCGUCAUAGCCAAUUCCUAAUAAUCACAAUAAUAAAAUUUUUAAAGGGCUGCCAGAGAAAACGUACUAAAAUUCCUGGCGGAAUACCAAAAAACAUCAGAGAAAUUCCUGAAGGCAUUUCUGAAGAUUUUUUCUUUAGGAAUCUGCCGAAGAAAGCUGUGAAAAAUGGUCAGAAUGCUUAUAGAAAUUUCCAAAGAAGUUUCGGAAUAAAUAACGGGAUGAAUUUCUACGAGAAUAUCUGGAUAAAUUCUUUAAAUAUUUUUGCAGUGGACUGAAGGAAAUUUUGUUAAAAAUGUUGAAUUAAAACGGAAUACCUUCGAAGAAAUAUUUAACGGUUUUUCCGAAGGAGUUAAUGAAAAAGUAGUUGGAUCAAUUCUUUAUGAGCCCAAGUAACACAGAAAACAUCUUGGGAAAUUAAACCUUCAAAAAAUGUAUUAUAAAUGAAUUAUAAGUGUCUUAGAAUACAUCUUGAGUUAUUUUUAGGUUCUAAUUAAGUUGAUCGAUAACAAACAGCAAAAACUUGCAUUCAUUAAACAUCGUCUUUACCUAGGUCUUUACUAUGUAUGACAUACGUUGAUUACACAAAGAUACAACAAAUAUCGAGCUCCAAAUACUCCAGUAGGCUAAAACAGCGGCUAACAUUUUCGUCAUAAAUACAUAACCUUACAUAUAUCGCGAUUUCCAUGUCUAAUCGUAGUAGGCCAAAGAACUCAUUGGAAUGAGACGUGUAAGUUCACCUUUUUCUCUCGGAUGUUAUACUUUCAACACCCUGCAGAUAUAAUCUCUAUUGACGAGUCCGAAACAGAUGUUUAAGCCUUAUCUGUCGGUACAGCAUCAACUUAUCCGAAGAACCUGAACGAUCGAAUUACGCGCUUUAGCACAAUUCAUGGUUUAAAUGUUUUAUCACUAAUAUUGAAAGUGGACAAGACAUUCGAACUCUAGCACUUCUUCAAUCCAAGCAAUUGCUCGGCAUGAAGAAUAUAUGAAGCAGUCAGAUGGUUGACAAUAAAAUCAUUCUCCGGAAAACAUGUUAAUUCCACCAUGACCGCGUCCGUCUCUCACUUUAUUUCUACCUUCCGAAUCGUCCGCGGAUUAUUCCAAACACUGAAUACAGGCUACUGGUUGAUUAAUUGACGGUCGCGCUCCAAAAUUUCACAGAAACUAUUGCAAAAUCCGACGCGGACGAGUAACAAAAAUAAUCUCAUAAUGCAAAACCAAUGUUUUGACAUUUUGACAGAUUUGGUUCUACUAAGACAUAGUUGUGAGUUAUAUUCCAGUUAUUUUGGUGUGGAUUUUAUGUUUGCUAAACACAAAUAAAUAAGUAUGUUGAAAAUAUGCUAUUUCAACGUAUUUUUGAAGGAUAUUAAAAGUUGACCGUAAUUCAUUAUUGAGUUGUUUUAAAGAUGUAAUUUCUAAGUAGUUCUGACUUACUUAGCGUAACAUGUAAAGAAAUAUUUAUGUUCCUUAGAAAAAAUCAUUUAGAUUACAGUACCGAUUGGGAAGCUGAUUAUUAUUUACCUAUAAUUGUGAUUUCCAUACAAACAAGGAUUAGUUUAAAACAAUACCAAUUUCACUCGAAGAAAAAUCAGGAACGUGACUUGGGCUUAUUUAUAAAUUUGUUCAAAGUUCAAGUAGUUCUUGGAUUUUUUGAACGGCACUGUAAGAUUGACUGAGAAUCUGCCAUGUUGUGUCAUCGUGUGGUUUCAAAAUAAAAUCCAAAAUGAGGCAUUAUUUGGAUUAUUUUCGGUACAUUAUUUUUUAUCUCAACGCAUUACGAUGGCGCUUGAAAUGUGGAGAAGUAUAAUCGGUAGUUUCACCACAAAUCUUAAACCGUAGGAAAAACACGACUACCAUUACUCAGAAAGUCCCAUUUAUUUAUUUUUUAUCUGAGUAGGUACUCUGCAUAAUUUGACUUCAUUAUUCGCAAUUUAUUUUUCUGGUUGAAAAGCUCAAUGUUAUUAUGUAUUUACACAAAUUUUAUUUUGUUUUUUUAUUGUUGAUAGUUUUUACGCUUCACGUAUUUGGGUGCCAUAUUUGAAUGUUAUAAAAAUGCUUUUUGUAAAAUAUAUAACUCCCGUAUAACUUAAUUUCAACCCUUGCAUAGGUUGUAAUAUGGUAUGUAAUAUAUAUGUUUUCUGACAGUCGUAUCACCUCAAAAUAGCCUAAUUAUAACUAAUGGAUGCGGUUAUUUUAUCCUAGUAAUCUGGAAGUUACUCUGUUUGGCAAAUAGCACAAUUACAACUAAUGAUUACUCGAAGGCAAGUUGGCACGUACCAUGCCCAAAAUUAUUAGCACUAUAAGUGAAUUACAAAACAUGUUAUAUAACUUAUAAGAUGUUCUAUAAGCCGCCAGUUUUUGCGCUGUUUUGAGUUUAUAGGUGUCGAAUAUUCAGUCUAAAUUACUAGAAAAAUACUACCAACUAAGUAUGAAACAUGAAUUUUAAACACUUAUAUAACAACAUGUGUUACUUGGGAGAUUACUGAAAAGGUUCUUCAUGUAUUUACCGGAGAAAUUUCAAGAGCAGUUACCAAUAGAGUUCCUGAAUGAAUUGUUGUAAGAUUCUCAAAAUAAUUGUAGGGGAAUUUAAAAAAAAAAACUGCACCUGGAAGGAUUUCUUGAUAAAAUUUUGAAGAAAAAUACCAGAGGAAUUCUUUUAGAAAUUACCGGAGGAAAUAAACGAAAACAUUAAUUAUUCUUAUGGCCAGGGAAGCAUUAUAUUCCAGUAUUUUUAAAUUAUUUAAAUUUCUUAAAAAUCGCAAAGGCAAUUCCAUGUGGAUAGUUUUUUUUUGGAAUAUCCUCGAAAUACUCCUUCAGGAGUCAUUUCUUAAGAAACUCAGCGACAUUUUUUUUUCUUAUUAGGUAUUCGGAAUUAGGUAUUCCAUGCCAUUCUACGAAUUUCUUUAGGUAUUGAUCCCACAAUUUCUUCCAGAGCACACCCGAGAAUUCCUAUAAGAACUUCUCCAGUGAAUUUUUAGGAAACUCCUUUGGAAAUUUUCUUGGGAAUUUCUCAGCAAAUAAAUUAUCUUGAGGAUUUUCUAUGAAAGUUACAGAACCGAAUUUAAAACGUACCGUAACAUGGGAAACAUGUUUGUCCCAUAUGUUUACAAGGUUUUUUUUAAGUUGGGAUAGGUUUCACCAAACAGAAAAAAAACACAAUUUUUGAAUACACUCGUUAAAAAACAAUAAAAUUGAGUUCUUUAGAAUGCAAACGCUUCAAAUUUGACUAUGUUUCCACAUGAAGCAGAAAUAUGUUGUCUAGCCAGAGAUCUUCAUUUAUUUGUUUGUUUAUGUUACUAGCUUUAUUGACUGUUUGACACAUGAAAUCUUUCUUGAAAAUUUCUUUAGGAAUCAAUUCGGUAAUUCUUAUCGAAACUUCAAGGAAAUUCCAGAAGACUAAUGGAAAUUCUAGAAAAAAGAUUUUAAAAAUUGUUUCGACAAGUUCGACAGUUAUUUUGAAGAACAGACAAUCCCUUUUGUAAUUCUAUUGUCAGAUCCUUCAACAUUUCCGACAGGAAACUCCUCAAUGUUCAAAGCAUUUGUCUAUAAAAUUUCGAAAAAUGGCUAAAGGAAUUUAUAAAGAGAUUGCCAAUGAAAUUUACGAAUUAUAUGUUAUGCGUGAGAAUUAUCCAAACGAAUGACCCAAGGGGAGUUCCCAAGAAAUUUUCGAAAAUAAAUCAAAAAUAUUACCGAAUGAUUUCUUAAAAAUUACAGAUAUAGCUGAGGGAAUUCUCAAAAAAAAAAAAGAAGUCACAACGGAAUCGCCAAUGUAGUUUACAAGGCAAUUUUUGAAUCAAAUUUCAAUCAAAGUUCAAGUUGAUGAACAAGUUUUAAUGCAAUUGCCGAAGGAAUAAUAAAAAAAAAAUACCGAAGCAAAAAAAAAUAUAUAUAAAAAUAUACUACACUGUCUUCAACCAGAGGCUGCACAGACUGAACGAUCACUAACAUAAGGCAACGGACAACAUGCGGAACACCCAGAGGUCCAGCGGAGAAUUUUCCGUGUGACGAAAAGAUUUCCCCGACUGAAGCGGGAAUCGAACCCACACUCCGAGGCUUUCGAAACGCCUAGAUGGCUGAUGCCGCUAACCGCACUGCCACGAAGUCCACAAAGGAAUAUUCCAAGGGAAUUUCGAAGAAAUGGGCAAAAAAGUUUUCAAAUAUAUUUCAAAAUAUGAAGAAUUGACAAACGAAUUUCGCAUUAAUUGCUGAAGAAACUCACAAAGCAAUUCCCCAAGAAACUCACAAAGAAAUUACAUAAGGAAUAUCUAGAGAAAUUUCAAAGAUAUUGCCGAAGAAAUUGCAUCACUGAAGGAAAUCCCGUAGGAAUUUAAAAAUAUAUUGCAUAUCAAAUGAAAUUGAAAGGAAUUUCCUAAUCAAUCAAAAAUUAUUAAAUCAAUUGUCAGAUAAAUUCUCUUAGAAAUUUUCCUUAAAAUAUGCAAUUACUGAAGGAAGUCUUAAAAGAAACGCCAAAGGAAUUCCCAAAAAAAAAAAUAAACUAAUUUUUGCACAUGGCGGUGAAACUUAUCUUUUGUAAAUUAUCAAUUCUCUUUGAUUGCGAUUUCAUUUAGUAAUUACGACUGGAAAUUUUAAGACUAAAAAUAAAUGUCGAAGUUUUUGAAAGGUGGUCGAAAGAAUUCCCAAGAAUAUGAUGAUGAAAUUUUGAAAGAAAUUUUCAAAACUGUUACAUGAUAAAUUUCCAAACGAAUGUCCCAAGGGAUUUGUAGAGGAAUUUCUCAAGAAAUUUUGGAAAAAGAAUAUUGGGAAUUACAAGAGACUUUCUAAAAAGAUUGUCCAUAUAAAUUAACAAAGAUAUUGUUGAAGAAAUUCUCAAAUAAAUUUUCGAAAAAACUUGUAAAGCAGUUAAUGGUGUAGUUUCAAAAGUAAAUAUUGAUUAAAAUGCGUAGAAUUACUCCAAUUAGUCUCCAGUUAGCCUAGUGGUUAAGGCUUUUGAUCGCCAAUCCGGAGACGGCGGGUUCGAUUCCCGUUCCGGUCGGGAAAAUUUCCUCGCCUCCCUGGGUAUAGAGUAUCAUUGUAAUUGCCACACAAUGUACAAAUUCAUGCAAUGGCAGGCAAAGAAAUCCCUUCAAUUAAUAACUGUGGAAGUGCUCUAAGAACACUAAGUAUAAGAGAGGCAGGCCAAGUUCCAUUGCGAACGUUGAGCCAUAAAGAAGAAUAACAGAUUGCCUGUAGACGUUUUUAAAGAAGUUCCCAAAAGAAUUGCAGAACAAAUUUCAAUGAAAUUGCAGAGGGAAUUUUCAAAACCGAAAAGAAUAACCAAAGAAAUUGUCGGAAAGAUUUUGAAAUAAAAUUUUCAAGGAACUCCUAAAAUACUACAAUGACCCAGACAGGCUCGCUGAACGAACACUGCGCUUAGCCUUACAUCUUAGGAAGGUUGAGGAUCCAAAUUCAAUUUUUUGAAUAUUUUUGGAUAAAAAUAAAACAUAAUUGUAUAUCACAACCUCUGCUAUUGUACGAAGCCUAUUUCUGAGGGAAAAAAAAUUAAGCUUGGUAGAGAAAUUACUAAGCUAACUCAGUUUGUAAUGUGCAACCUACAUAUAAUUCUCCUUCUGAAUUGAACAUCCAUAGUUCGCCACACAAGCUUUAGUUUUGAACCGUUGAGCUGUGCUCCAAUAUCUUUCAAUCACAGUCGACGGCAAAGACUGUCAGCUGAAAGCUGUGUACUUGUUGUCAGUUAAGCCUGGGAGCUGUUGUCCUUCUGACUUCAGCUGUUGUCUCCUGACUGCAUAUGGGAAAUUAACGCGGACGGCAAUCUGUGGGAAUAGAGUCAAGGAACAGUGAGCUCAGCCACUUGCGAUAAAAUAGUAUUGAACAAAACAAUAUGCAAAGAUUUUACAAGACUGUCAAUGACGUACGGAGUAAAACUGCGCCGUCUCCCGUCAGGUACAACGGCCGAAGAGGUAAGUUGCUGACAAAUAAAACUACAAAGCAAAAGAAACAUCUUGUUAAAUCUCAUCGCGCAGCUAUCUGUCGUGUCGUUUUUUUUCUUCUUCUUCUUGACGUAACGUCCCAGCAGGGACAAAGCAUGCUUCCUAGCUUAGUGUUCUAUGAGCAUUUCCACAGUUAUUACCUGAGAGCUUUUUCAGCCAACGACCAUUUUGCAUGAGUAUAUCGUGUGGCAGGCGCGAAGAUACUCUAUGGCCAAAGAUGUCAAUUCCAUUACGAAAAGUUCCUGGUUCGGCCGGGAAUUGAAUCCAUCACCCUCAGCAUGGUCAUGCAGAAUAACCGUGCGCUUACGGCAUCAGCUAUAUGGCCCCCGCCCCCUCUCGAUGCUGAUUCUGUCAGAGAUAUCAACUAAUUUCUAUCUUGCCAAAAUGAGAGGACCCGGAGGGCAAAAAUACGAGAGACAUAGGGCAAACUAAGUCGUGUUUUCCGACUUCGAUAAGGUGCUAUCCGGUUCUAGAAUUUGAAAACCCAUGCUGCGGCAGUGCUGGGUGGUGGCAGUAGCGGAAUCUCACUCGAUUAGGAUCGUCGUCGUCGUCGUUUUCUUCCGUUGGUCGGACGGAGCAAACAGCAGCAAUCUGAUGAACAGACAUCAGUUGUCGAGAACUAUGUUUACAGGAGAAGAUUCCAGCCAGCAGCACGUGUAUGGCUGCUCUUUCUAGCUUGACUCUGUGGCGGUGGUGUCGAGGAAGAAGCCCGUCGUCGGAGGAAGGAUUGUUAAAUGGGUUUUCCCAGUCGUGUUAUUCGUUUUGGAAGUUGAAUCGUUUAACAAGUCGUUCCGGAGAAAGCAAAAUGAGGUGGUUCAUGAAAUGGAGUGAUUAUGUUGAGAAAGAGUUUGGUUCUUGACUUUCGUCGAAUGACUAUAUUGGUACAAACGGGUUUGUGGUUGUUGUGAUUGGUGAGGAUUGGAGUUUAUUUGCUUUUAAGACAAAUCGUAGAUAAGUUGCAGUGUUAGAUGACUAUCACAAUAGAAUAAGGUUUACUAACGCAUGUUGGAUCACGACCGAAAAAAAAGAGGGUUAACGUGAUGUUACCUAACCAUGAUAAAUAAUCUAAAUGUCAUAACUCAUAGUUUUAGAAUGAAGCAAACCAUUGAUAAAGGAUACUUUUCCUAAUUAAAUUGAAGUCAUCUUCAACUUUGCGUUUGCAAAAUGGUCAUAGGCAGAGGAAGCUCUCAGUUAAUAGCUGCGGAAGUUCUUAUAGAACACUAAAUUGAAAAGCAUGCUUUGUCCCAGUGGGGGCGUUACGCCAGGAACAAGAAGAAGAAGAAUUAUUUCUGGUUCUCCUGAAACAAUGGUUGUUGAAUUUACAUUCCUUCUCUUCUCCAAUGACCUGAAGGACGUGACCGGCAUCCUUAUUGACUUAAAUAAAAAUCUUUGUUAUUCAUGUUUUCAGUGACGUUCGGCUUCACCAACUAUAGAACGGUCUGUUCGGAGAACAACCCCGAUGGUAACAUUCCAGAACGUCCAUGGUAUGUAACACGAUGUAACUCUCCUGGCGGAAAAAGUGCCGUUCGCAUCACUAAAUCACACAGCCAUCCGAGCAACCAAGUGUAAUAAUGUACUCUUUCGCACACACCACUUAUAGCCAGCAGCGUUAGAACAGCCCUUUUACUACUAUUGUCGUCGUCACUACACGCUGCCUGGCACUGCAACAAAGGCUCUCUCUUCUCUAUCUACAGUUCUACACCAAACCCUCAGCGGGGUGAGGUCUGCGGUUGGUGCCAUAAAUAUUCACAUUCAUAAUAAUAAAUUUGUUGCAUUUAAUAUCGGGCAGUCCGGGUCGGGCGCCGCCACGCGUUGAUUCCGGGACCAACCAGCGAAUCAACGCAGACGAUGACGACGAGGAGGACGAUGGUGUGGCGAUGCGAUGAAUUCCAUUCCAUGAGAGAUGGGGUUGGUUCACAUACAUAUAGUAGUUCGACCCCGUUCCUCGCUUUCAGUGGUUCUCGUCGCGUCGAGUGGUAAAGUGUGGAAGUAUUCUCCUACGUUUUCCAUAGUCAGUGCAAGUGGAUUCCUACACCAGGGAUUUCCAAAUAUUUUCAUACUGCGUCCUUCGUCACAUUGAAUUCAUAACCAAAGAGACGCAAACAUCGUAUGCCACCAUGUGAUAAAAAUAGGCAUUUUUAUCCAUAGUUUUCCUGGUAAACAAACUUCGUUUAUACGCUUUGUUUGGAGAAGAUUUAAAAUUCCUAACGGGAAAUGAAUAUUUCCAUCCAAAAUUUCCAAGAAAAGAGACAAUCGCGUAAUGGCGGACUUCUUGAAAUUUUGCGAUCUUCUUUUCUAGUACCUUACUGAGUUUUUCUUAGAACAUACUUUUCAAGUGAGACAUCGGGCUAUGGAUCGUCAAUCCGGAGACGGCGGGUUCGAUUCCCGUCCCGGUCGGGAAAAUUUCCUCGACUCCCUGGGCAGAGUGUAUCAUUGUGCUUGCCUCACAGUAUACUAAUUCAUGCAAUGGCUGGCAAAGAAAGCCCUCCAAUUAAUAACUGUGGAAGUGCUCAAAGAACACUAAGUUGGAGAGAGGCAGGCCAAGCCCCAGUGGGAACGUAGAGCCAUACAGAAAAAAAGAAGAAGAAUCGAGUCUGCAGUCUGCAAUAAACAAGCGUGUCGUCUCAAGGGGUUACAUAUGAUGAGGUGCGUGAAAAUAAGGAAAAGUUUGAACUUUUGUAAAAGUAAGUAACUAAGUUUUUUUUUACAAAUUUUCGUUUUAUGCCAUACAUAGUACAAUAUUUAAUGUGUAAAAUUAGCUUGUGAAUAUAAAAAAAAUGUAUAAUUACCAAAGUUAUAACAUUUUAAGUAAAACGUGUUUUCUUUAAAGAGGUUUGCCGUGAUUAUGAUUACAGUCCAAUGGCUCAACUACCAGCACAAAUCCAAAAGAAAAUCGUUACUAGAGGAGCUUGUGGUGUCCUCGAACGACCAUAAUAUAAAACAUGUUAUAAGUUUUCAAACAGGGAGGAUUCUUUUCCAAGAAAAUCACUUUUUUAAUGCAAAAAUGUACACAUACGUACACAUUAAAAAAAAAAAAUACAUCGUAUAACCUGUAAAAAAAAGGCUCCGUGCGAUAUGACGGUAUAUGAUAUGAUAUAUUUUUCCAUCAACUUAUAAAUCUAUAGCUUGCUCUAUAGCUUGAAAUAUAAUAGAAAUGUAUAUGAUAAACUUUUACGUUGGGUGUAACUCUCAGAAAUUUUUGCCGUGUAUAUGAGCAAAAAACCUGAAAUAUUCAAAAAAAAAAAGAUGCAACGGCUUGAAGAACAUUUUUAUUUUUUUUAAAUGUUAUGUAAAAAUAGUAGAACUUUCGUUAAAAAACCCAGAUUUAUCCACCUAGUGGUGAUAGUGCCUUUCUCGUCAAAUAUGUACUCAUGAUCUUUCCGUCGACGCAAUCAACCUUGCCUUAGAGUCAGUGAUCAGCCCCAAAUCUCUGUGCUUUGGCAAUGGACGAGAAGGGGGAAAUGCUCAUAACAGCGAUCUGGGAGUGUACCACCUACGAAUUUCUGAAUCAUGAGAAUACUUUAUUUAGAAAAUCAAGAAUUUUAUCAAGGUCAUCAUCGAAUUGGGGCACUUAUUCCGACGUUAUAUUCAACGUAUGGGCAGAGCUGAAAGUAUCAGUCCUUUCAGUUGACUGCAUGACCACCUUCACUGGAGGCUGAUUCAUACCAAGAUGACAAUUACUAGCCAGGAUUAAACUUUUUCCACAGAACACUUUGACAAAGUUUUAUCUGCACAUUUUAUGCUAUAUUUUAUUAUCAUUGGUUGCAAAAUUCAUGUAGAAUUUGUAAUGUAGUAAUUUGAAUUGCCAAUGCUAUAUCACAUUCAAAUAUCAACCACAUUACAGAGCUCGCCCUCCAGCCGCAUCAAAAUUUUGCGUAGUAAUUUUAGACGCAAAUAAAGUUUUAAAAGAAUGUUCCGGGCUGAUGCGCUUAAAUUUUAAUUUUUCCAUACAACGUUGAUCCAUCCUACUGUAAAUUUACGUCUCAGGAAUCUAAAAUGGUGUGAUUUGAUGAGAUCGCUUUAGUUUUUUUUAGGUUUUUGGUUCUCUUACACAUAUCUAUCGCUUGCAUUCAUUUAGUUCACUUUCAUAAUUUCGCGAAAGCACCCAACGCUGCUUCUGCAACACCACCGGUAGCCUCUUAUGUAAUCUGAGUAUAUUUUGUAUUGCUUACGAGACCUCCGGAAAUGAUUCCGUAACACUACCGGUAUAUUCAAAUGUGAUCUGAGUUUAUGAAAACUGUUAAUCAGGUUUCCCGGAACUAAAAACACUACCGGUAGUAACUUCUGUGGACUGUGCCUAUUUUCUUAUCAUUCAUGCAUCAGGUUACUGACAAAAAAGCGAUUUGAUGUACCGCAAGCAUGGGUUUGAUUCACUUUUAUGUAUGUCCACUUCCAGUGGGACGCCCUUAACCGGUUCCGGAAAACUUACAUGGCUCAUUUUUAUAUUUGACCAAUUCCGGCGGGACACCAGGAACCGGUUCCGGGAUGCUACCGGUUCAGAUAUGAUCUGAGACUAUUUUCCUGCUUAUCGUUCCUCAGGUUAUAGAAAAAGCAGCGAUUUGAUGUGUCGCAUGCAUGGGUUUGGUUCACUUUUAUAUUUGGCCACUUCCGGCGGGAUACCCGGAACCAGUUCCGGAACACUAAUAGUAAUAGUAAUAUCGGAUGAUAUUUACUAUCCAAAAGUGAGGUGACCUUUUUGUACACAUACACACAUACACACGCACACACAUACAUACACACACACACAUACAUACACACAGACAUCAUCUCAACUCGUCAAGCUGAGUCGAUUGGUAUAUAAGACUUGGCCCUCCGGGGGUUCUAUCAAAAUUUAAUUUUUGGAGUGAACAUAUAGCCUUUUUUCGGUACACCUUGGUGUACGAGAAAGGCAAAAAGUGCAUUUUUCAUCAGAAAUGCAGUACUGGUCAUAUUUUAUACAAAAUGGUCAUAUUGGGAGACCUGUACCUAAAGUUCUGCGCCAAUCAUCCUGAAAUUUUAACUGAAACUCUGAAGUAAUUUAAAAUAUUAUUGACGAAUAACUUUCAAAAUUAUAAUUAAACAUUUUGAAAUUUUGAAGAAUUGUUUCGUGGGGGCUUUUUAGCUCUGACAAAAAAAAACUUUUUUUCUCGAGACUGGCAAGCCACCACGAAACAGUUACAUUUUGAUAAGACUAGCAAUUUACCUAAAAUAUUUCUAAAACAAUAAAUUUCAGAAACUAAGUUUACUUUACAAAGUUAUGUAUACAGCUAGAGUAAACAAAUUUGCGGUAGCGCUUAAGUUGAUAUGGGUAUUAUGUCAAUGUAUCGCCCUCGUUGUGGAUCAUCUUUGCUAAAAUAGUAAACGAUUUUCAUUUAUGUAGCCCUUCGAUAGAGAUUUUCAACGAAACAUGAAAAUUAGGGAGAAUUGGGGCAAAAUAGGCCACAUCUCAUGAUCUGUCUUAGUAGAAAUCAAUUCUAUUCCGUUUAUAAAAAUAGUAUUUCCAUCACGAUUUCUUUGAUUGGCAUGGAAACAUUGAAAGCAGCUUAAGAGUCUAUGAAAAAACUAGUUUUACAUAACUGAUAAGUAGUAUGAGGCAAAAUGGGGCAUUCAAGUAAUCUAGACAACAAAGAAAUGUUCAACUUCAAUCGAGAAUAGCCUGUGCUAUGAUAUUUAACAUUUUUCUGGAAUAUAUAUAGGCGGCAGAGGUUUAUAUUCACUUCUUUGUUAUGUUUUGAAUUAAAAUAGUGCAAAAAAGGGAAAAUGGGGCAAAAUGGGAAAUUUUCCGUGGUCUAGGUCUUUUAUCCUUUUCUAAACCAGCGGCUUCUAAAAGUUGCGAUUUUGGGUCCACUGUGCACUGAUAUACAACAAGUUGAUGGACUUACAAUAAAAAUUUGUGAAUAUUUGAUGCCUUUUUCGAAAAGUUACAGCUAGUUGAACAUUUUUUAAAAAAGUGAAAAAUUUACCUGUCCCAAUUAUUUUGACUAUCCCACAUGCAUAUAUGGAGUUCGGACAUCUUCCCCAUAUCAAACAUACCCAUAUUGCAUGGUUUCAGAGACUGACACUUCAUAAACAGCUGCCUUCUUAUAUUGUGGGUCAUCGGCGUGAAUUUUAGGCCGACAUCGUUGAUUUUCUGGCCUUCAGUGUUAAUAUCUGCACAAAAUUCGAAAAGGUUACAAAAAUCAGCUCAGUUUGAUGUGUCGUUUGGGGAUUUUCUUUUAUUACCGAACGGGUUUGGGCCGAAGGGUCUCGGAUUUUCAUGAAAAUUUUUCCUCAGGUAGGGUUCAUUGAUAUUUGAAUAAAAAAUUGGGAAAAAUUCAGGGCCGCCUAUUUUCCCGGAAAACUCAGGUGGAAAUUUUUGGUAGUGUCAUAUACUUACUUUGAAAAAUCAUAACUUAAGAACGAAGUAUCGUAGGAAUAUUUUUUUUCUUUUAGGAAAAUGAAAGAUAAUUUUCUCAGGAAUCCAAAAAAUAUAGGAGCUGGAAAAAGUUUUUCACAGUUGAGAAAAUUCGUAAAGAAAAGCCGCAAAAACAAUGCUCAAACUCGUGGAAAAUUUAAAAAAAUAUGAGAAGGUUGAGCUUUGAUAGCCGAAAUUUUUGGAAUUCACUUUUUUUUAGUUAUGGCAAAUUCUGUGAAAAAUGUCCAAAUAUACCAUAUAAGCCUUUUCAUAACUCAAAGACGAAGCAUCGUAGAAACAAAGUUUUUUUUUAUGAAAAUGAAAGCAAAAUGUCUCAGGAAUAAAAAAAAAAAAAUAUGACCUGGAAAAAAAUUUCCUCAAAAUUUUCCACCGUUGAGAUAAUUUAUAAAGAAAAGUAGGAAAUACUAUGCCCGAACUCGUGGAAAAUUAUCAAAAAAAUAUUUUCGAGAAAGUAAUUUUAUAAGUUUUUAUCGCUGAAAGUUUUGGAAUGCGCUUUUUUCGUUCCUGAGUUAUGGCCAAUGUUGUGAAACAUGACCAUGUAAUAUAGGCUCAUAUGGUCAUUUUCCAAAAAAAUGGCAAUUCACUCAGGAACGAAAAAAGUGCAUUCUAAAAAAUCCAGCAAUUACCUAAAGCUAAUGAGAAAUAACCUGCUCAGAAAUAUUUUAUUAAAAAAAUUCCAAGAGGUUGGGCAUAGUUUUUCCGGCUUUUCUUAAUGAAUUUUCUCAACGGUGGAUUUUUUUGGAAAACUUUAUCCAGUUCAAACUUAUGAGGGGAACAAAGCCCAAAAUGCCAAGAUAGGGUAAAAUGGCCCAACUAAUAAAAGCAUUCCUGAAUGGGACUUGAUCAUUACUAUAGGUGAAUGGUGUCAAGAUAUGUUUGCAUCGAACAUUCUGCUAGAAGCUAUGCCACUAAACCCAUGAAAAAUCUUUUGAUUUCCCAAUGAAAAUAGGCAACUUCCGGUUUUUCGUGCUUGCAAUUAAGGUUUUCUGGUGAUUUUAUUACCAGCCAAGUGUUUCCAACGAGAUUGAGGCACACAUGGAGACGCAUGGUUGUUGAUGCCUACGCUUUCUAUGUUAGGGGUCAUUCAAAUAUUACGAUCAUCGUUUUGCGGGGAGGGGGUAACACUCCAUUUAUUGAGUAUAUGAAAAAAAGCGGGACAGAGGGGGAAAAGGAGUCGAAAAUGCCUGAAAACUGAUGGACGUAAUUUUUGAAUGUUUUCAUGAAUUGGCAUCUUACCCCAUGGCAGAUGGUCGUUUUGCACCACUUCCGUUUUACGAAUCAGUUUUUAAAACUGCUAGAAAUCGAUGAAAAUGCAAUAGUUUAGUGAAUAGUUUUGCAGAAGUAUCGAGCAAAUAUUGUCUAGUUGCUGUUACCACUUCGAAAGCCUAACAAAUGUGACUAAUUAUCAUUGAAAACGAUGAAAGUUUGAAAAAUGGCAUUUUACCCCACUUGACCCGACUUAUUUUUAAUAACACGCAAAAGCUGCGCUCCGCUAAACGAAAGAUAUCAUACUGAGUUUUUCAUUCAUUCUAAAAAAAUAGGAUUGGUUCACAACAACUCAAGAUGUAAUCAGUUUGCAAACCCCUGCCCCGCACGGUUGAUGUUGUGCCAACAGCGAAACAGCAACCAUGCAUGCACUGCAAAUGCACCUCCGAUCUCUGCGGAACCGUACUCUUAACGCCACGGUGCGGUGCGACGGCAGUCCAAUGAGCGAGGCGCGGCAAAACGAAAAAUGUACUUCCCACACGUAUGGAUUGUAAGAGAGUGCACUUGCACAUCGUCCUACCACCCACCGGGCAGCUCCCACAGACCCGCCCAGCCAUCAUCCAUCGUGCGCUGCUCUUCAAACCACUCUUAUUCAUUGUGAAUACAUGGCAUAUGUUGGAAAAACGAUAGUCCUGCUAGAGACUCCUCUUCGGUGCUCCUGACUACUGGAAGGUCUGGGGUGGUGCCGGUGAACGGUGGCAGAGAGCGCGCGCCAGAGUACAUAACUGGGGUAAAUGUGCAGCAGUGCACUGACUGGUUGUGUGUGUCCUGAAGGAGUUCUGGAGUGCACGCGGUGGAGGCGCAGGGUAGAUUGUGUGAACGUUCUUUUUUUUGCGCGCUCUCUAGUCGGACUCGACCGUGUCUGGGGAAGCUCAACGUUCAACUCUAUCGUUACUCGGCGAGGUCGGGGGGAUGCCGGAGUAAAAUGUUCUUUAUUAGGGUAAUAUUGGGGGAAGUCGUUCCACUGAAUGGAACAUUUCACACCAAUUCCUCUUACAAGUUACGAUCGUCGACGGCGACGCUGUAUUUUGCGGUAAGUCGGAAGGGCGCGGAAAACUAGAGGGCGGGUUAUAGUGCCACUUUUUAGUGGCUUUGAACGAGCUUUGGUUGUUGGUUGUUGGCAACACCCGUCUGACUGCUGCUGCUCCACAUGGGAGGAAUGACGACGAUGAUGACUACCAUUGCUCCCACCAUCCCACCCAGUCAGUGGAAAGCAUGACUUCAAUGAUGGGCACCACACACGAUGAUGAUGCAUGUCAGGAUAUAUGUUGGGGGCGCGCACAUGGUAUGCAAUCGAAAGCCCCAUGCUCUCGUCGGGAUGGUACUUACAUUUUUCAUCCUUCUACGAAACGAUCCGUGGUUCCACGUCACUGCACACGUCUCGUCGCGGCAUGUGUUUCCCAUGCUUGAUGAAGGUGGAUGGCACUCUGUUGCACUGACUUUCGCUACGGCGGCGGUAUGACGGCAGAGACGGAUAAUUCUAUAGACUAGAAGUUGCACGUGUGCCUUUAGAAUAUAUUUGAAUUUGGAACUCUACAGCUGUUCAUGUGUCUCUUAUUGGCUCUUCGCACCCUAUUUGUACAUCUUAUAAUCACUAUUUUUAUUAUUAGGAAUAUUGUGGUAUGUUUGAUACCAGUUAUAGGUUGACGUAGAUGUCAUGAUGUCUUUAAGGCGGAAUGGCACUAGAUAUAAGAACACAAAUGGACUGCAAAAUUGUGAGUGGACAAGGAGCGUACAACACAGUUCUGGUCUUCACAAGCUACCUCAUGCUUCUACGGGUCAAUCGAUGACACAAACCGCCACCUAAGAAUUACAUGCUUAGAUAGUAGUGCAGCCUAAGCACUGUUGUCCUUGUGACUUCAGCUAGAUUGAAAAGGUAGGACCCGAGCGUCUGUUCACCAAGGAAGUACAGCUCAAACGGCAUCUGUCCUGUCCAGUGACUGAACAUGAAACGCUGUAUGGCGUCAGCUAUGCCUAAGGUGGCAGCUGGCAACGCGAUGUAGGUAGCGCAACCCUGGUAAGGUAACCUGUCGAAGCCUUCCACCACCAUGAAACAUGAAGAUAGAAAAGGAAAAUGCCAACGAUACUCGCGGAAAUCGACUUGGUAAGAAAAUAAGGACUAUGAUUGGAAACUUGAUUCCAGGAACGUCAGUACCUAAAAUGAACCUGGACGCGUGAGCCUUUUCCCGAGAAGGUAUCAGUAACUGGCGCCCAACUGCAGGAUACCAAAUUCAGGUAUCAUACCGAUACAAGGUAUUGUUUGGUUACCCUGGUGUUCAAAAUAACUUAUUUAGGUAUUGUGUCACUGAAGACAAAUGCCUCAUGACAUUUAUGAAGGAAUACUCUCAAAGAUUUUGUUAAAAUUUCAUCCAGAAAUUUUUCUGAAGAAUUUCUCCAUGAAUUCUACUUGAAACUUUUAGGACAUUCUUUUUUGGAAAACCUCCACGGGUUUCCCAUGGACUGGUUCUAGCUGUUCCUCCAAAUAUUCCUUAACCCUCUAAUACCCAAAUUUUUGAUUUUGAUCUAAAUAUCAUUUUUCGUCAUCUAAAAUCGAUUUAAAUAUGUUUUGGAAGAUGAUUCUUUUCAAUUCCCGAUUUCGUGAAUUUCUGUUUUUGAUUUUUCUAAUUUUUAUUUUUUAACAUCCCCACACUUUUAUAUUUUUCCUGGAAGCCAAUUUGGGGAACGGAUUUUUUGAGAUGAAAACAUUUUGAGAUUUUAUGAUGAUUGUUAAAAUAUUAUUAUUUAAAAAUAUUUUCACAGAAAAUUUUAUUUUCCGUUUAAUUUUAAGGAAAAUAAUUUUAGAGUGUAUUCGAUUCCCUUAAACUAUUAAACAAAGAUAGAAUGAUUUGGGAAAAAUUUAAAAUAUGUUAAUUGUAGCGAUUCAAUACAAAAUAAACAAUGUCUUCUAAAAGGUGACUAAAACAUCAAUUUUUCAAUGAUUUUUAAAAAUGUAAAUACGCUUUAAAAUACACCAAAAACCAUUUUAAGAUAUACAGAACAGUCCUUGAUAUCAGCCAAAAAUAUUAAAAAAAUGAUUUUCCACGAUACAAAAAUUACAAAAAUGCUCAAACUAUACCCCGUCUAAAGGCGGGAUUGGGUAUUAGAGGGUUAAAACAAUAUCGCAGACAUUCUUUUAAAGUUUUUGCAGGAUCACAUCUAGAAAUUCCAGCAGUAAUUCCUCCAGAGUUUUCUUCAAAAAUUAUUUUAGAGGUUCUUGCAGUCAUUCCUUAUGAAUGCCUUCAGAUUGUUUUUCUAGAGUUCGUUCAAACUGUUUCGGGAAAUUUUCAAGAAAUUAUACAAGGGAUAUCGCCAGAGGGUUCUUCAGUUCUUUCUAGUAUUGCUUUAGAGAUUCCAUAAAAAUCCUUUAACCCUCUAAUACCCAACCCCGCCUUUAGACGGGGUAUAGUUUGAGCAUUUUUGUAAUUUUUGUUUCGUGGGAAAUAAUUUUUUUUAUAUUUUUGGCUGAUAUUUAGGACUGUUUUGUACUUCUCAAAAUGGUUUUUGUUGUAUUUAAAAGCGUAUUUACGUUUUUAAAAAAUCAUUGAAAAAUUGAUGUUUUUGUCACCUUUUAGAAGUCAUUGUUUAUUUUGUAUUGAAUCGCUAAAAUUAACAUAUUUUAAAUUUUUCCCAAAUCAUUCUACCCUAGUUUAAUAGUUUAAGGGAAUCGAAUACACUCUAAAAUGGUUUUCCUUAAAAUUACAAGGAAAAUAAAAUUUUGUAUGAAAAAAAUUUAAAAUAAAAAUAUUUCCACAAUAAUCAUAAAAUCUCAAAAUGUUUUCAUCUCAAAAAAUCCGUUCCACAAAUUGGCUUCCAGGAAAAAUAUAAAAGUGUGGGGAUGUUCAAAAAUAAAAAUUAUAAAAAUCAAAAACUGAAAUUCACGAAAUCGAGAAUUAAAAAGAAUCAUCUUCCAAAACUUGUUUAAAUCGAUUUUAGAUGACGAAAAAUGAUAUUUAGAUCAAAAUCAAAAAUUUGGGUAUUAGAGGGUUAAAUAGUUUACCCAGUGAUUCCUUGAAGAAUUUCUCUAAGACAAUGUAUUUUUGUCAGGAAGCUUUUUACUCAUAUCUUGAGAAAUUCUUCGGAACAUAAAUCUAUGAAUAAAAAUAGAUUAUUUUUGCAGAAACUCUCGGAAGAAUACCAGGGAAACUUCUUGGGAAACGCUUUUUGAAACUCCAAGAAAAAAAAACGUUGAGAAAUUUUCUGAAUAUAUCCUUCAAUAGAGUACUUGAAGGAAUUUCUAAAAAAAAACUGUUAUGGGAAUUUCUAACACCUCUUGGGACAUUUCCAAUGAAACUGCUAUAGAGAUUCCUUGGAGGACUUCUGGAGCAAUGUUUGACUCCGUUGAAAAAAUCUCAGGAGCAUCGUUGGAGAAAAUGCUGGAGGAAUUUCUGGGGAAAUAAACGGAGGAAUACUAUUGGAACUUCUGAAUUAUACGAAUGUCUGCAAGAAACUGUGGAAGAAUUGCUGCUAGAAUCACUGAAAGUAAUUAUGCAAGAACUCCUAGAGCAAUUCUUACUGGGUUUUCUGGAUAAAAUCCAGGAGUAAAAAUCCUGGCAUUAUUCCUGCGAACAUAUUCAACAUUGAAGAAAUUCUCGAGGAAAACUCUGGAGGAUUUCGUGAAAAAAUGGCUGCACAAAUUCCUGGAAUCACAGGAAUAUAUUCUGGAGGAAAUAAAACGCUGCUGAACGAAUUCCUGAAAUAAUCUUUUUAACGAUUUCUAAAUGCAAAGAUGCUGAUAAUCUCAAUUAUAAAAAAAACUUCUAAAGAAGUUCUGAUUCUUUCGAAAGGAUUCUUUGAAGGGACCCUAGAAUUUCUGAAGUAAUCCCAGGCGAAGUUUUAGAGGGAAGCCAUGGAAAAUUUAAUGCAAUUUUGGAAGGAAUAGAAGAUUUUCUUAAGGAGAAAUUUCUGAAGGAAUACUUUUGAAGAAUUUCGAAGAGCAACAUUAUAGAACUUUUCAUGGAUCUCAGAAUGAUUACCUUAUGAAAUCCCUUUCAGGACUUUCUUAAAGAACCAUUAAAAUGAAACCUUUGCGAAAUUUAUGACGGAUUUUGGAACCCGUGAAUAAGUUUUGAAAAGAAUCUCAGGAUCGUUUUCUGAAAGAAUUUAUAGAGCAUUUUCUGAGCAAAUUCAUGGAACUCUUGAGGAAUUUCUGUAGCAAUCCAUGGAUGUUUGUUUAAAAGAAUCCUUGUAAAAAUUGCUGAACGAACAAUUUCGGAAGGAAUCCUGCAGAGAUUUAUCAAAGAGUUUUUCUGUACCCGAGCAGAAAGGAAUAAGAACAUCAUAAGGUGCUGUAUUAUUUGGGCACGAUAACUGAAUAAUGGAAGCAAUUAUUUUUAAUUUAUUAACAUAACAUUCUGUGUUAUAAACUUUUAGUAAUUUCUAUAUUUUCAAAUACUUCCAGCUUUAAUUUAUAAACCGUUCUACUUUAAUUGUUUUUGGAACACGGUUUUGAAAUCAACACGUAAUUGUGUUUGAAAAAGCUUUGUCGUCGAUAGCAAUUUGUGACUUUUGUUUUGUUUUAUUAGCACUGAAACUGAAGAUUUUUUAGAGUGCUCAACAGUUUUGCAGAUUUUUUUUUGGAUAUUGGAAAUAUUUCACAGAUUAAUAUAUUUUUUUCUGAAAACUCCGUUUUUUUGCUCCAAAUUUUCCCUGGAUUUAAUAGUUAUGUCGAAAAUUUCUCUGAUGACUCCUACAAGAAUUUCACCUGAAAUUUCUGCAAGGUUUCUCUAAGGAUUCCGCCAAAAAUUACAUCUAUGUUUAUCAUGCGACUUUUGUGAGAUUCUUUUCAGGAAUUGGUAAUUCCAGAAAUUCGUCGACAGAUUUCGUCAUAAACUUUUCCAUAAAUAACUCCGAACAAUCUUUCAGAAAUUUUUCCGAUAGUUCUUCUCCGGAAUCUUUCACGGAUUUUCAAAGACUGCUCUUGAAACUUUUCCAGAAUUCUUAAUUGAAUCCCUUCAAGGAUUUCUUCAGAAUUUACUGUGAUUAUGUCCCGAAGUUCAUCUUAAGAUUUCUGUAAAAAAAUCUUUGAAAAUUUCACCAGGAGUUUAUCCGAAGGAUUCUUCAAGAUUAUUUCAAAAGAUUGCUUCAAAACUUUCAAUAAUUGCUCAGAAGAAUUACUUUUGAAAUUUCUAAGGAAAUAGCGCCAGGAAUUUUUUUUGAAGACUUUUCCAAGAUUAUGCGAAGGAUUCCUCCAGAACUUCCAAGUGUUUUUCCAAAUAAUAUAACAAACCAAAGGAACAGAUCAUAAUAGUGGAAUUGUUGCUUUAAUUUCAAAAAUUGUUACUGUUGUGGUAUUGUUGAUAAGUUAUUCAAUAGUACAACAAUAACAAAACUUGUUCUUCUACAAAACAUGUCACUGAAAUGUUAUUUAAUCAAUGUAGCUUGAUUAUAGCAAAGUGAGAUUGUCCAACAAAAUUUGUUAUGGAAAAGCUUUGCCUUGAUAAUUUAAUAAUAACAACACAAGAUAUAAAAACAGGUUAUGUAAUUUCGUGAUUUUUCAUUUGCUAUUCUCCUCUGCUCGGGUAUCUGGAUGAAUCUGAAUCUAACUUCAGAUGAAAUCAUGAAUGAAUCAAUGGAUUUUCUAAAGAAAUUCCCGUGGAAGAAUUCUUGAAGGAACUCUCACAGGUAUCUCAGAAAGAUUGCUGGCAAAAUUACUAAAGAUUUCAUAGGAGGCUUUCUAAAGGAAUCACUAAAGAAUUUUCUAAGAAAAUCAAUGGUGUAAUUUUUGAAGAAAUCCGUGAAUGGCUUUCGAAAUUAAUCCUUCGAUAGUAUUUUUAGAGGAAUCUCUUGAAGAAUUUCAGAAAUGAGUUCAUGAAGGAUUUCUGAUAAAAUUCGAGAAGGAAUAUCUUAAGCAGUCCUGCAAGGUUUUCUAGAAUCAACUUUUGAGAAAAAUAUGCAGAAAAAUCUAAUGAAAUUUCCAAAGAAAAUUUGUAAAUGGUUUAUUGGAACAUUUUUGAAAGAGUACAAGUAAAGGAAUUGCCGAAUGAAUACUUACGGAAGUAUUCGAAGUACCUGGAGGAAUUUAAAAAAAAAAAAUAAUUUUUCAAACGGCGGUUGCAAAGAUUGAACGAUUACUUAAAUCACAAAAGACAUAUUUAGAAAAAAUGAAAAAACCUCAGGACAGGACAAAUUUCUGAAAGAAUCCCCGGAAAAUUUAUAUUAUUCGGAGGAAUUUCUGGUGGAGCCUUUGGGAGUAUGUAUCAAACAUUAGAUUUUUUGCAACAUGUACAGUUAAUUAUAGCCUAAUUUUCCGGAAUCUCCAGUGGUAAACAAACAUUUUCCACAGACACCUACUUUUAAAACUAAUAGCUCAAGAACAAAGCAUCGUAUACACAAUUUUCUCAGGCAAUUGAAACAAAAUGGAAAUGGGUUUUCACAAAAUUUUCCACUGUUGAAGGAAAUCGGUUGGAAAAUCGGAAAAACUAUUUAGGAAGUCCGGAAAAAUUCUCAAAACAAAUAUUUCUGGAAGAAAAUUACAUAAUUCUGUGAAAUUUUCAAGAUGUGUUUUACCCUUCUUACACCCAUAAGAAGGGUAUAAAUACCGCUUGGAAAACCGACUUUCGAUCCGAGGCCCGCAGGGCCGAGUCACAUAUACCAAUCAACUCAGCUCGACGAAUUGAGCAAAUGUCUGUAUGUGCGUGUGUGUGUAUGUGUGUGUGUGUGUGUGUGUGUAUGUAUGUUACAAAAAAAUGUCACUCACGGUUCUCAGCCGUCUGUUGACCGAUUUGAGUUCUCUUGGAAGCAAAUGAAAGCUACUACAUCCUAGUAGAACGCUAUUGAAUUUUAUUUUGAUUGGACGUUCGGUUACCGAGAUAUCUUUCAAAGAGUGCUAGGGAGUAGUACAACUUAAUUAUUUUAGAUAUUUUUGACAAAGUGUAUCACCAUAAAUUUCUCAGCCGUCUAUCAACCGAAUCGGGUUCUUAAGGCUCGAAACGAAAGCUACUGCACCCUAGAAGAACGCUUUUGAAUUUCAUUCCGAUUGGACAUUUUGUAACCGAGAUAUCUUUCGGGGAGUACUUUGGAGUAAUACAACUUAACUUUUUAAGAGGUCUUUGACAAAAUGCUUCAUAAUAAAUGAAUCAGCCGUGUGUCAAUCGAUUUGAGUUCUCUCAGCAUCAAAUAAAAGCUACAGCAUCCAAGUAGUAUGCUAUUAAAUUUCAUGCCGUUUGGACAUUUUGUUUCUGAGAUAUCUUUCCACGAGUACUAAGGAGUAAUGAAAUUUACGCUUUUGAGAGAUUUUUGAUAAAAUGUAUCAUAAUACAUUUCUCAGCCGUUUGUCAACAGAUUUUUUAUGAUCAUAUUUGGUUACACAAGUUAGUUAUACAUGAAAAUGCAAUUGCAUCAAAUACAUAAAAGCUACUAUCUCUUUGUAAUAUUUGAGCUUAAUAAACAGUAGCAAAAAUAUCAUUGAAUGUAUGUAGGAAAAGCCUUUUUACCCUUCUUACACCCAUAAGAAGGGUAUAAAUAUCGCUCGAAAAACCGACUUUCGAUCCGAGGCCCGGAGGGCCGAGUUUCAUAUACCAAUGAACUCAGCUCGACGAACUGAGCAAAUGUCUGUAUGUGUGUGUGUAUGUGUGUAUGUGUGUGUGUGUGUGUGUGUGUGUGUGUAUGUGCGUUACAAAAAAAAGUCACGCACGUUUCUCAGCCGUCUGUCAACCGAUUUGAGUUCUCUUGGAAGCAAAUGAAAGCUACUACAUCCUAGUAGAACGCUAUUGAAUUUUUUUUCGAUUGGACGUUUGGUUACCGAGAUAUCUCUCGAAGAGUACUUAUGAGUCAUACAUCUAAACUUUCUAAGAUUUUUGACCAAGUGUAUCAUACUAAAUAUCUCAGCCGUAUGUCAAUCGAUUUGGGUUCUCUUGGCACCAAAUGAAAGCUGCAGCAUCCUAGUAGAUCGCCCAGAAAUUUUAUUUUGAUUGGACAUUUGGUUACAGAGAUAUCUUUCGAAGAGUACUUAGGAUUUAUACAACUAAACCUUUUGAGAUUUUUGACCAAAUGUAUCAUAAUAAAUAUUCUGGCCGUCUGUCAACCGAUUUCGGUUAUCCUGGCACCAAAUAAAAGCUACAACAUUCUAGUAGAACCCUAUACAAUUUUAUUAGGAUUGGACAUUUGGUUACCGAGAUAUCUUUCAAAGAGUACUUGGGAGUAAGGUUAACUUUUUGAGAGAUUUUUGACCAAGGGUACCAUAAUAAAUAUCUCAGCUGUCUGUCAACCGAUUUGGGUUCUCUAAGCACCAAAUAAAAGCUACAAUAUCCUUGUAUAAGGCCCUGAAAUUUUAUUUCGAUUCGACAUUUGAUUACUGAGAUAUCUUACGAAGAGUAUUUCAAUAAAUUCUUUUUUUAUUAAUCUAUUCACUUACUUCUUAUCUUGCAUUAGUUUUUGA